UCUUCCUCACAACCAAACCAUGGAACUGUAUUUUUGACAUCCCUAAUACGAGCGCUACAUUGGGCACUUCAACUCCUAGGAGUAUCUUAACGACGAUCUUGUUUUGCUUGCGAAUUUCUCAAACCAUAAUAGGAAAAUUGUCAUGAGAUUUGAAUUUCAAGCUUUUCUUUGCUGAUAUAUAGAGUCCUAUCGAAUUAGAAAAUGCGUACAGUGGUCCCCGAAUUGAAAUUCUCUCUUAAAAAUACCCCAUAGGUUGAUUAAAAAAAAAAAAAAGAAAUGAUCUCGAGAAAAGGUGAAGGAUCUGUUGCUUCGCCGCUGUCAGCUCGCGGGUUCGCCGUUGCUCCGACGUGUUGCUCCCCGCGAGAACACAGCAACCCCGGUCGUCCGUGAUUUCCCGUCAGUUCGUGCGUUCCAGUCUCGAGUCCGAUCAGCGCGUCACUGUCGGAGUUCGUCCCUUCCGAUCCGCUUUGAAGUUCGUCCUUGCGCGUCAGCUCUUCGUCCCCAUCAGUUCGGCGCAAUCCAGAUCUGAUUCCGCCGCCCAUUUGAAGUCAGGUUCCUGUUCGAACCUCGUCCCGUUCAAUUCAUCGGUAAUGCGAGUCGACCGCCACUCCUCUUUGCUUCUCCUUCCUUUGUGCAUUUCCUAUUGCUACUUUGAUUCUGCCUUUCAAUAUUUUGAGUCUCCAUGGCAUCCGAGAUAAGGCAUCUCAAGAUGCAAACGAAGAUUCUUCCUUUCCUUUUCUGGACUACAAGAAGAUUUGGCUCUCCGCAUUACUUUGAAGGCUACCCUUUGAUAAGCUGCUUCCAUCAAAACUUGCAUUCUUGUAGAAGCUGCAAUUUCCAUACCCAUAAAGUUGUGAAUUUUAUCUCACCAACAAGGAUGCAUCUCCAUGCUUCAUUAUUUUGUACUCUCAUUCGCCUAUACUUGGCAUGUGGAAAGUUUGUCAGGGCUUCUGAUGCCUUCUUUUAUAUGCGAAGUCUUGGUCUUGUUCCUACAUUGCCUAUGUGGAACCGGCUUUUAUGCGAAUUCAAUGUCGCAGGCUUGGUUUCUCAGGUAAGAGUUCUGUAUUCUAAUAUGGUCUCGUGUGGGAUUAUGCCAAGUGUUUACAGUGUUAAUAUAUUGGUUCACUCACUGUGCAAAGCAGGGAAUCUGGAUUUGGCUUUAGGAUAUCUCAAGACAAAUGUAAUUGAUACUGUUACCUAUAACAUCAUCAUUUGGGGUUUCUGUUCCCAAGGAUUAGCAGAUCAAGGUUUUGGGCUGUUAUCUGAAAUGGUUAAAAAGGGCAUCUGCAUCGAUCAUUUUACUUGCAAUAUACUUGUUAAAGGGUAUUGCAGAAUUGGAUUGGUAAAGUAUGCAGAGUGGGUGAUGCAUAAUUUAGUAGAUGGGGGGGUUCCACUGGACAUUAUUGGUCUUGACACCUUAAUUGAUGGAUAUUGUAAAGCUGGGUUAAUGAGUCGUGCCCUGGCUUUGAUGGAGAAUAGAUGGAGGGAUGGUCUUCUGCCUGAUAUUGUUAGUUAUAAUACUUUUCUUAAUGCUUUUUGCAAAAUGGGUAAUCUUGUAAGGGCCAAGUCUCUUACUGAUGAGAUUUUUGGCUGUCAAACGAAUAUAGAAUAUGAGCAGUAUGAAAAUUAUGGUAUGCAAAAUUUAGAUGGGAACAGAGAUUUGCAUCCAACCCUCACAACAUAUACUAUGUUAAUCACCGCACAUUGCAAGCAACAAGGAAUUAAAGAGGCCUUUUCUCUGUACAAGCAAAUGAUUAAGAAUGGGAUAAUUCCUGACGUGGUUACUUGUAGUUCUCUUCUUCAUGGGCUUUGUAGACAUGGAAGAUUAAAUGAAGCAGCACUGUUAUUGAAGGAGAUGAAUAAAAUGUGUUUGAAUCCUAAUCACAUCUCAUACUCUAUCAUUAUUAACUACUUGUUCAAAUCAGGAAUGUUAGUGGAAGCUUUGAAUCUUCUAAGCCAGGUGGUUGUUCGGGGCAUUUCCUUUGAUCUAGUUCUGUGUACAACCAUAAUGGAUGGUCUUUUAAAGGUUGGAAAGCUCAAAGAGGCUGAGGAUAUGUUCCAAACUAUUUUAAAACUUAAUCUUAUUCCAAACUGUGUGACCUACUCUGCACUCCUUGAUGGGUAUUGCAAAUUAGGAAACAUGGACUGUGCAGAUUCGUUCUUGCAAAAAAUGGAUGGGGAACAUAUUCUUCCAAAUGUUGUUACUUAUUCUUCUAUUAUAAACAGAUAUGUUAAAAAGGGAAUGCUUAGUGAAGCUGUUAAUGUGUUAAGGAAGAUGGUCAAAAAAAAUAUUUUGCCAAAUCUUUUUGUUUAUGCAAUUUUAUUAGAUGGCUAUUUCAAAGCAGGCGAACAAGAAAUUGCAUUUGGUUUCUAUAAGGAAAUGCAAUCACAGGGAUUGAAGGAAAAUAAUAUAAUAUUUGAUGUUCUAUUGAACAACUUAAAAAGACUUGGAAGGAUGGAUGAUGCUAAGUCAUUAGUGCAAGAUAUGUGCUCGAGGGAUCUUUCACCAGAUUUGUUUAACUACACUUCUCUAAUGGAUCUCUACUUCAAAGAAGGAAAUGACAAAGCAGCCCUAUGUGUACUCCAGGAAAUGGAAGACAAACAUAUAAAGCUUGAUGUUGUUGCCUACAAUGCUUUAAUCAAUGGCCUUCUGAGGUUGGGGAAAUAUGAACCUCAGUCUGUGUUUUCAACUAUGCUAGAGUUGGGUUUGGUUCCAAAUUGUGCUACAUAUAACACUGUAAUUAAUGCAUACUGCAGAAAAGGGAACAUGGAAAAUGCUUUGAAUUUCUUGAAUGAGAUGAAGAGCCAUGGGAUAAUGCCAAAUGCAACCACUUACAGAAUUCUGAUAUUUGGGCUUUGUAAAACUGGGGCAAUUGAAAAGGCAUUGGAUGUUUUGAAUGAAAUGUUGGUUAUGGAGUUUCCACCUGACUCUAACGAUCAUAAGUUUCUGCUUGAAGCAUCUUCAAUGGGUAGGAAAGCAGAUGCAAUUUUGCAAAUUCACAAGAGACUUGUGGAUAUGGGACUCAAACUUGAUAGAACAGUGUAUAACAAUCUUAUCACUGUACUAUGCAGGUUAGGGAUGACUAUUAAAGCAACUUCUGUUCUUAAUGAAAUGGUGGGAAGAGGAAUUUUAGCUGAUACUGUAACGUACAAUGCCUUUAUCCGUGGUUACUGCAUAAGUGGCAAUGUGGAUAAAGCAUUAGCUACUUACUCACAGAUGUUGGUUGAUGGAAUCUCUCCAAAUGUUACUACUUACAAUUGUCUUUUAGGGGGUCUUUCAACUGCUGGUUCUAUGGGAGAAGCGGAUGACUUGCUUAGUGAGAUGAAGGAAAGAGGACUUGCUCCAAAUGCUGCUACUUAUAAUAUAUUGGUUUCUAGCCAUGGUAAAGCUGGAAACAAAUUGGACUCCAUAAAGCUUUAUUGUGAAAUGAUAAACAAAGGUUUUGUUCCCAACACUGGAACCUAUAAUGUGCUUAUUUAUGAUUAUGCUAAAGCAGGAAAGAUGCGCCAAGCUAGAGAAUUGUUGAAUGAGAUGCUGUCAAGAGGAAGAACUGCUAAUUCUUCAACAUAUGAUAUUUUGAUUUCUGGGUGGUUCAAAUUGUCCAAUCAGCCAGAGCUGAAUAGGGCACUUAAAUUGUCAUAUCAGUCUGAGGCAAAAAGAUUAUUAAGAGAAAUGUAUGAAAAAGGAUAUGUGCCAUCUGAGAGCACCCUUUCAUCCAUGAGUUAUCACUUUUCAAAGCCGGGAAAAAGGUCUGAAGCUAAAAGGCUGUUGAAGGUUCUUAGCAAAAGAAAGAAUGAGUGAGAAAUGGUGUAGUAGGCAUAUUACAGAUAAUUAAAUUACGUGAAACUGCAGCUACAACAAUUCUUAGGCACCUGAGUCCUCAAAUGUUCAAUAAUGUCUUGUGAGGAUGAGAAAAUUGGGGGGAAGACCGAAGGAGCACUCAAGACUUUUUUGCAUUUGGCAUGGAAGUGGAUUUAUUUUAUUCAAGAAUCAACUUCAGUAUCUACGGGAAAUCUUUGCUUAUGUCAGGAUUGAAAAUAUCAAAUACUCUCAUUUGAGGUGGAAUUGAGUCACUCCAAGGUAAUAUAAAGUGAGCUAGGCCUAGAGUGAAUUUCUCAUGCAGCAAAAGUCAAGUGCCGCAAAGAUGAUGAUAGUUUAUCGAAGUGUGCUGAAUAUGAUAAGCUAUUAACAAUGAUAAUUGAGAAAAAUUCAUCCUGAGAUUUGCAGCGCUUCCAGCAUUGUGCAUCCAGUGAUCAAUCUAUAGACAGAAUGCUAUAAGGCUACAGAAUUGGGCUUUUAUUCUGGCACGCUUCAAUUAUUUGAUCAAUCUUUAGAGUGUGUGCACCUUUUAGAGUUGAUAUUCUACGUUGACUAUCGCCUAAAAGAUUGUUGCUGCAAUCCUGGAAAUGAAAUUGUCCUCUCUAACUUGGCGAGCAUUGUCUCCAGUCUGUCAACGUAGCUGCCAAGAAGAUUGAUCUUCAUUCACAUGUUCUGAAGAUGGUGCAGCAACCUACAUGGUGGUGUUCGGUUUGGUCAGUUUCGUCCACUGGUGGGAGAUAAUUUUUCUGCGAGACUUACUAACAAGUGAUUCCGAUAGCUUAGGCUUACAUUUAGCUAUGGUGCCAUUCUUGAUAGAAUGCUUUAUUUAUAGAGACAGGAUCCGGUGGAGCAGAUAAUAGGAUGCAUUGUUGAUUCUGGAAGGGGUGAACCAUUUAAUGCGCAGGAUCUAUCGAUUGGUAUGACAAUUGGCAGUGGCAAGGAGUAUGAAGGGCUAUACUACUUCAAAGUUACUUGAGUAAGUAGUCAACACUCACAUAUUGUAAGUAACUCUGUAUCUUCCGUAAACAAUAAUGAGUUUCUAUUAUGACUUAAGAGGAUGGGUCACCUUAAUUUCCAUUACCUUCAACGACUGUUCUUCAAAUCUAUGCCUGAACCAAAAUAAGUGCGAAAUCUAGUGUGAGGUAUGUGAACUCACUAGACACCAUUGAACUCAUUUACCUAGAGCCUAGUAU